AAAGUACUCCCUCCGUCCCAAAGUUCUUGUCUUAGAUUUGUCAAGAUACAGAUGUAUCAAGUCACAUUUUAGUAUUAGAUACAUCCGUAUCUAGACAAAUCUAAGACAAGAAAUUUGGGACAGAGGGAGUAGUUG
rnacentral:pre_miRNA from 1 species